UACGUAGGUGGCGAGCGUUAUCCGGAUUUAUUGGGUUUAAAGGGAGCGUAGGUGGUUUUGUAGGUCAGUGGUGAAAGACGGCCGCUCAACGGUCGCAUUGCCAUUGAUACUGCAAAGCUAGAGUACAGUAGAGGUAAGCGGAAUUUAUGGUGUAGCGGUGAAAUGCUUAGAUACCAUAAAGAACACCCAUUGCGAAGGCAGCUUACUGGACUGUAACUGACACUGAGGCUCGAAAGUAUGGGAAUCAAACAGG
rnacentral:rRNA from 1 species